GACGAACGCUGGCGGCGUGCUUAACACAUGCAAGUCGAACGGAAAGGCCCUGCUUUUGUGGGGUGCUCGAGUGGCGAACGGGUGAGUAACACGUGAGUAACCUGCCCUUGACUUUGGGAUAACUUCAGGGAACUGGGGCUAAUACCGGAUAGGAGCUCCUGCUGCAUGGUGGGGGUUGGAAAGUUUCGGCGGUUGGGGAUGGACUCGCGGCUUAUCAGCUUGUUGGUGGGGUAGUGGCUUACCAAGGCUUUGACGGGUAGCCGGCCUGAGAGGGUGACCGGCCACAUUGGGACUGAGAUACGGCCCAGACUCCUACGGGAGGCAGCAGUGGGGAAUAUUGCACAAUGGGCGGAAGCCUGAUGCAGCAACGCCGCGUGCGGGAUGACGGCCUUCGGGUUGUAAACCGCUUUCGCCUGUGACGAAGCGUGAGUGACGGUAAUGGGUAAAGAAGCACCGGCUAACUACGUGCCAGCAGCCGCGGUGAUACGUAGGGUGCGAGCGUUGUCCGGAUUUAUUGGGCGUAAAGGGCUCGUAGGUGGUUGAUCGCGUCGGAAGUGUAAUCUUGGGGCUUAACCCUGAGCGUGCUUUCGAUACGGGUUGACUUGAGGAAGGUAGGGGAGAAUGGAAUUCCUGGUGGAGCGGUGGAAUGCGCAGAUAUCAGGAGGAGCACCAGUGGCGAAGGCGGUUCUCUGGGCCUUUCCUGACGCUGAGGAGCGAAAGCGUGGGGAGCGAACAGGCUUAGAUACCCUGGUAGUCCACGCUGUAAACGGUGGGUACUAGGUGUGGGGUCCAUUCCACGGGUUCCGUGCCGUAGCUAACGCUUUAAGUACCCCGCCUGGGGAGUACGGCCGCAAGGCUAAAACUCAAAGGAAUUGACGGGGCCCCGCACAAGCGGCGGAGCAUGCGGAUUAAUUCGAUGCAACGCGUAGAACCUUACCUGGGUUUGACAUGGAUCGGGAGCGCUCAGAGAUGGGUGUGCCUCUUUUGGGGUCGGUUCACAGGUGGUGCAUGGCUGUCGUCAGCUCGUGUCGUGAGAUGUUGGGUUAAGUCCCGCAACGAGCGCAACCCUUGUUCACUGUUGCCAGCACGUUAUGGUGGGGACUCAGUGGAGACCGCCGGGGUCAACUCGGAGGAAGGUGGGGAUGACGUCAAGUCAUCAUGCCCCUUAUGUCCAGGGCUUCACGCAUGCUACAAUGGCUGGUACAGAGAGUGGCGAGCCUGUGAGGGUGAGCGAAUCUCGGAAAGCCGGUCUCAGUUCGGAUUGGGGUCUGCAACUCGACCUCACGAAGUCGGAGUCGCUAGUAAUCGCAGAUCAGCAACGCUGCGGUGAAUACGUUCCCGGG
rnacentral:rRNA from 1 species